ACCCCUCAAGUACAACGUACAAGUGACCUCCACUCACCUAGUCUCAUUAAAGUGUGAGGAGGGGUA
rnacentral:tRNA from 1 species